GUCUUCGUGGUGUAGUGGUCAGCAUGCUCGGCGUGUAUUACAGAGGUCCGGGGUUCGAGUCCCGGCGAAAACG
rnacentral:tRNA from 1 species